rnacentral:rRNA from 1 species
UACGGUGGGGGCAAGCGUUGUUCGGAAUUACUGGGCGUAAAGGGCUCGUAGGCGGCCAACUAAGUCAGACGUGAAAUCCCCAGGCUCAACCUGGGAACUGCGUCUGAUACUGGAUGGCUUGAAUCCGGGAGAGGGAUGCAGAAUUCCAGGUGUAGCGGUGAAAUGCGUAGAUAUCUGGAGGAACACCGGUGGCGAAGGCGGCAUCCUGGACCGGCAUUGACGCUGAGGCGCGAAAGCCGGGGGAGCAAACGGG